UGCAAAGUGAAAUAUCACUCUCACUCAGUUACUUAGGUGACUCAACAACCUGACAUACAAAUUCAUUACUGACACUGUUUGGACUGAAUAAUGGUCCCUGAGAGAGAAAUAGCAAGCUGAUAUCAUCCUAUAAUGAUAGCAGCAGGAGGGGAUGAUGUUGGUGGCUGAGGGUGCCAAUGUGCCAUAAACAUUGGGAGGAAUGAGACGUUCGGCUCUUUUUCUUUCGGAGGAAUGAGGUGUUCUGCUCAUUUUAUUUGUACAAUGGUUUCAAGGUUCUUACUUCAGCGAAGCAGUCCCCUAACAUAUGGAUAGGUUGACAACAUUAUCGCAACAAGCAAGAUGCAGGGCACUAAGCAGUCAUAUCUAAAUUCAGCUCAACGAGAAAUAGUGUUUUUUUUUAUAGUAGCUGCCAUUUCUUUGCUGAAGAAAUUGUUGCCGACAGCAAUGAUAUAGAUUUGAUUUUUCAGCGAUGCAGUUGAUGUAUCGUCUCCAAUAGUCCUGUUUCCACAAUGAUAAGUACUUUGGCACAUUAAUCUCCAUCUUUUAACAUUUCUUUCAUUUGCCUGGCUUUUAACUAAUGGUUAAUUUAUCUUCUCAUUUACAGCGGUAUUUCUGUUUGGUGGUGCAAGUACUUGUUAUGGCCAUGUCUCAUUUAUGCUGGUGCGGACCAUGUCGCGGCAAUGUCCAUGAGCUGCUUAUGUAGAUGUUGCUUUUGAUGUCACUACCUUGUAUUGCUCUUCAUAGAACAUCCUUCUAUUUUCUUUUUAUAUCAGCUUUGCUGCUACGUUUGUAGUAUCGGAGUUUCAACUGUAAAGCCUAAGAAAUGUAUUAUCCUAUUGGUAAUUAAUUUUAUUGUUCUCAUA